CCUCCUGCAUGGGGAAGAGAAACUCCAAAUUAGUUCCUGACAUUAGUCCAAGCGCUGCUAUUCCUCCUGCUGGGCUAGGCCUUCAAGCAGGACUGGACCUCAGCACUUGUGUUUCCUUAAGAAAACAAGGUCUUCCUUCCAAAACCCCAAACGCUGGGUGUGAGGGAGGGCCAGAUCCAUGUGCCGUGCACAUUUCCCUACUCAGUGGACUUCAGAGCCAGAUUUCUGUCCCAGCUGUCAGCCCAACCACCUUGAUGGGAGAAACAGAUGUGGUACACGUGGAUUAGGACAGGACCCAAAUGGCUUUGUGCUCUAGCAGGCUGAGAUUGAGACUAGAGGCAUCUGCUUAAAGGAAGAAUGAGUCUAAUGGCCACUUUCUUCUACAGAACAGUGUCUCAACCUGUGGUAUGCAUACCCUUGGGGGUAUGUGAGACACAGGCAGGGGGUACGCGGGUACCCCAAUGCUUUCUCUCUCUCUCACCCUCUUUUCCUGUCAAAACUAUGGCAAAAAAUUUGGUCUGCCACACACUGCGCAGCACUUUAAAUUCCCCAGUAAUAAUUUGGCGCUUCACACUUCACGCGGCACUGGGUCCAGCCCUCCUACCUUUGGCCAACAUCACCUCUAGCCCAGGUGCACCCCUGGUGUAAAAGGUGGCAACCCUACCUACAUCAGAUCAGACCAGACAUCAGUCAUAUCACGGCCUUAUAUGCACAGCCCUGCUUCUGACAUAUGGCACACAUUAGUCUGUAAGUAUAAAAUCCCCUGUAAAGUGAGUGUUGGGGUACUUAGUAAAAUUUUCAGAAGUUAGGGGGUACUUGCUACUUAAAAGGUUGAGAAACACUGUUCUUCAGCACCGGCAAGCUCGGGAGAUGAUGCCGAGCCUCCACCUGACCGGACUGACAUGUUGCAGAAGCCAAAGUGCAUUGGUGAGACUGCUCCCCAGCACUCACCCUUGCUCUCUGCCAGUCCUGAGAGCAGCAUUACUCGGGGUACAAGGCUAAACAGCCUCACAGUGGAUUUCUGGGGCUUGUCGGCAAUCAUAGGUCUGUGGGGAGCAGUGCCUCCCAUUGAACCAGCUGCUUCUGUGGCACACGAGUGCUGUUUUUAUUUGGUAGAAAAAGCCAACAUGUUUCAUUCCUCAUCCCUCCUGUCACAACCAAAUUAAUCAGUGCCCAUGUCAUUAGCAAGUGAUGCACACAACAGUCAAUUAAGGGUUAAAGAAAUCUCUGUCCAGAAGUUCCUAAGAAAAAAAAUCCAAGCAAGAAACUUAAAUUUAUGCCCACGUCACAACCAAGAAACGAAACUUAAGCGUGAUUUAUGAUUGGUCAGAGUAAAAGGGAAUAGCCCUGUCAUAAAUCCCUGCAAUUGGUCAAGAAACAAGCUCAGACCCCUCUCACGUAUCAGACAAAAAACCUGACCCACUACCUUGUAACCUGAUAGCAACCUGAGAGCACAAAGAACUGCUGCUUGCCAGAUAAUUAAAGAUUCCACCUAGCAGCCCAUCAUUGGACACCUCCGUUAGUUACCUCUGUCUAUAAAUAGUUUAACAACUUCCGCCUAAAUCGAAGACCUCUGAACACAAGCAUCAGAGUAAAUUGGUGACUUGAUCAGUCAUCAAUCUCUUCCGUCAGCGCGGCUCCCGGACGUACCCCCAACCCUCCUGCAGGCCCGUACUGUCGUUUACGGUAUCUCGUUCGUCAUGCUCACGGUCGAUUAUAAUCUAAGACACUCGAAUGUAAACAACGCAAGUCUUCUGCCUGCGCGGCACGUCACUAUCCGGGCGGCAAAUGUCUGUGAAGCAUGCAGUGUGUGCAACAUUUCCAGGCCGGCAUCUGUGCACCUGUGUGCUGGCUGUCUCCGCUGGAUGUCUGCCUUGCAGGGGUGCCUGCCCCAAGCUGCCCAAAUGGGGUUGGGGUCCCCUGUCUGCUGAAUGUCCUGCAGCAGGGGGAGUUGGUGGCCUCAAUCAAUGUAGCUGCUAGUUGUUCAACUGUGCAUAGUUCUCUGCUUGGAUUUCUACAAAUGUAACCGUGCCGCUCGUGUGUUUACUAACGAACAAAAUAAAAGGGUGAAACAAAUGAAAGGUUCUAUCUAUAAAAGAGAAUGGAUGAUUUUCCUCCCGUCUUUUGUAUCCUCAUGUGAAACAGCAGAGAAGGGCGAACCCCAGGGAAUCCCCAAGCUGAGCAGCGACAGCAUGGCAGAUGGCGGGGGGGUGGGGGGCAGAGGUGGAUUACGAUUCCUUGGGACCCUGGGAUCCCCAUCCUACUGUGCGACCCACCCACACCAUGGAUCCCAACCCCCAGGUGCCUCCCCCCACCUGGCAACCCCCACACUGCCCAGCCUGCACACAGCAGGGGAGGCGGGCAGCAGUACAGGACAGCAGGGUGAACAGGGGCCAAAAAGAAAAUUAGGAGCAGCAAUCCAAAGUGGCAUCUAGUGGACAAAGGCCUGAACUACAAAAGUAGCGUAACACCUACUGAUGGAAAAAGAGGGUAGUUACACGACUUUGAGUGUCUUUGUGUUUGCAUGCAACGAAUCCAUAGAUGCAACGCUUUAAUUCACGGCGAGCCAAACUAAACUACAUCCGAGCAGUUUUACUUUAACACGCCAAAAAGAGUUUUAAAACUUUGGGAAAUCCCGCUCGUGCAAACAGACAUGCAGUUGCAGUGCAUGAAAGGGCAAAUAUCAUGGCGUGUACAUGUAUCCCUUGGCAUUAACCUGCACGUGGACUCUGUGCUGAGUCUCAGGGUUUGUGACACUCAAGGCCCCAGGGAUAAAACAGCAAAGGUAAGACUCUGGUGCAAACUCGGGGGUAUUCAUUCCCCCCCUCCCGCCCCCUGCAAACAGGAAAGCGUGUUAAUCUCAACUUCCCUAACACCUGUAAUUAGGGAGAGAAGAAAGGAAGAGUUGCUUGUCUCCACAGCUUUGAAUUUCAGGGGGUGGGAAGAACACCUGCCUGGACACAUUAUAGCAUAAACUCUUUGAGGUUAGCAACCUGGAACGGCAGCACAGGAGCGGUCAGCAGCUUCUAAGCCCCCUGUCACUCUGGGUAUCGAGAAUUUCUGAAGGGAACUAGGUAGAGGGGAUAGACACAACUCACCUGGUGACAGGUCCUCUGUCCUGGAGAUUUCCCCAUGGUCCUCAUCCUCACAGACCCAGAGCUCCAACUCUCCUUGCUGGAUGCGGCAGAUUAAGUUAGGUGUGGGACCUCCAUAUCCUGUUUGGGGCAGUAGUUAAAGUGCGUUUGUGAUUUGGCAGUCAAAGAAGAAUAACUGAUGGGGAUUGGAAAUGGAUCCAAUAAACUCAAGGUUUCGACUAGGGCAGGCAUGGGCAAAACGGUGGAUCUGGCUGUUGGCUGGACUCUAUUUUCCAGCAGUCCCUGCCCCAGCUGGUCUUCAUGGAGACCCUGGGAGCAGUGGGGCCGUGACAAGUGGGGUUGCAGAGCUGGGGCUCUACCCUGGUCCCACAUGGUCACAGCCCUGCACUCGCAGGGUCUCCAUGAAGGCCAGCCGGGAGCGAUGCAGGCAGGGUGUGUGGCUGGAUGGGGAGCUGCUCUGUGGGGCCAGGAUCAUGUGGUGGUGACAGCACAGGGCCAGAGCCGGGGCAGAGCCAGGAUCUGCUGCCCGCACACCCCUGCCUGCACUCAUCACAGGGCCGUGCAGGCAGCGGAUCACAGUUCUGCCCCAACCCCAGCACCCCGAGAUCCCGGGAUCUCCUCGGCCCUACCCGCCCAUCUCACUCCUGGCUGCGGCACCAUCCCGGCAGCCUGACCGCGUCCCCUGCUCAUGCAGGUCCUGCACCCGGCAGUGGGUGCAGGGUGGAUGGGACAGGAUGCCUGGGAAGUGGGGCUGGGUCCAGUGGUGGCAGCCAGAAGGAGCUGCCACCACAGGGGCUGCUGGGAAAUGGAGACUCUCGUGGGCCUGAUCCAGCCCAUGGGCCAGACUUUGCCCCCACCCCUUGUACUAGGGCCUCAAAGGGAAAGGGAGGGUGGAUAUUUGGGACGAAAGAGAAGGCACUGCAGGGAGAAGCCUUCAAUAGAUGAUGGGUCUUGUCACCCAGGUGGUGGAGGGGGAGUUGGUCACAGGAAACAUAGCACCCACCUCUCUGAAGUAUAAAAAGGGUACAAAAGUCAUGACGGACAGGGGUGGAGAGACAGUGAUCUGUGAUGUAGUAGAAAGCAGAAAGAAACAGCUUUUACUGUUUUCAAGGUACCAAAAUUAAGAGACAUCAGACACACUUAUGGAUGGAUAACACUUAUCUUAGUGUAAUUCCAGGCGAAGGAGUGGAAAUGAGUUUAUUCUCAGUGAAGGUCUAAAGCCAGGACUUGUGGGAGUGAAAAGAACCCAUGACAAAUGUCUGACAAUAAUUCUUUUUCCUGGGAGAGAGGGUAAUUUGUCAUCAGCAGAGCACAGGAAAGGAUGAUUUUAUAAGAACUAUAGAUCCGACUAAAGCAAUCCAAUGGGAGGAUGAUCUUUGGGCAGAGAUGCUUUCACAAGUUGGCAGAUACUGAAGGGUUUAAGAUAAAGUUCAUGGGAGUCAUGGAUAUGGAGAAAAGAAGAAAAAAAGGAGACACAUUUCCCAGCAUGUGCAAUCCCAUAAUGUGGAAAUGAUCUGCAGAGUUUCCCAAAACUAGAAUCGCAUCCAAAAGAGAGGGCCCUCCAAGACAAAUACAUUGCACAGUGACUAGAAAGAGAGAUAUAACCACAGUGAAAGUGCGGUAUCUUGUGAGAGCCUCGUGGCCCAAAGCAGCGUACUACUUGGUGACUUUGGGCCACCCCCAGAGAUAUGAGAGAGAAAGAGAACUGAGACAUGAAAUAGCAGAAAUUAGUUCAUAAGCAGGGUUAUCUCUGUGUAAAAAUGACAUAUUCUCUGAUUUAAAACACCCAAAUUCCAUGUUUUUCCAUGAUUACAAUGAAAUGCUAUUUUAUAUAUAUAAUAGAUAGAUAUGCCCUUAUCUAUCUAUCUAUCUAUCUAUCUAUCUAUCUAUCUAUCUAUCUAUCUAUCUAUCUAUCUAUCUAUCUAUCUAUCUAUCUAAAUAUUUUACUGAUAUAAUUACAGUUUUUAAACAGUCUGGAAGCCUACCAGUGCCACAAUCAUUAUAAUAAAUACAUUCUGAAUACUUAUAUAUUUUGGCAUUUGAUUUUGUUUUUUUUAUCACGGAAAAUCAGAGCUCCCGCUGCUUCCCUUGCUCACCAGGAUGCGGGUCCAGCUGCAGAUGUUCCUCCCACCAUUGCUUUGUGGCGCUGAACAGCCCUGAUAUGCCUUUGCCCUGCGCCUUCACUCCCAAGCCACAGCCCCCGCCAUCCCCACCUCCAGGGAGCUGCUCCCACCACCCUGCCUGGCUGUAUUGUAGAAACACUCCUGGGAAGAUGUCUGCCUCCCUCAGUGACGGGGCUGAUUCCCCUGAAUGAGUCAAACCUCAGGACUGAUAAUGGUGAUGGGGGACGGGGGAAGCCAAGCCAAUCCAAUCCCCAACAAAGCCCUGGCUUGUCACAUGCGCCCCUUGGCUAAUCCCCAUCCUCUCAGCCCUGUCCAUCACUCUGCCACAGAGGGAGCCGGGCUCCGAGGUGACGGCUGUGAAACUCAAGCUGAGCUGGGCCUGCUCACAAAAGUGAAAAUGCAAAAUACUGAUGACAACUGCAUAGUGCAAGAAGAUAGCAGUCUGCAGCUGGACUUUCUCAAAAGACAUAAUGAGGUAUCACUUCCAGUGCAUCUUACCUAUAUUCAUGCUGAUUUUAAGCAAGCUCCUAUUUGUCUGGUAUGUAACUGGGUGAAAUGGCUAUCCUUGAUUAAUUAGUACAGUAAAUAUUUCUUUGCAAUUAACUCAUGUCUCUGUGUAGGAAGAGCCAUUCUCCACAUGGGCGUUGUGUUUUUCUUGAGUGUUAAUCAUUUCUUGAUAUGUUCCAACUUAGUAGAAAUGGAUAAUCUCCUGUUACUGAAAAAGGUCAUUCAAUCCAAAUCAGGACUGUCUGAUAGCCAAUAAUGAACAGUUUGAUUAACAGGAUUUUCCCUUUAAUCACUGCUUGGGAUUCUCUCUUGAUUGAAACAACUACAAGAAUGCUUUGAACUCGCUGGGUAUAAAAGAGGAGCAAAACAGCCAACAGGACGCACUUCAAGAAUGAGAAAUCAUUUUGACAAGAACUCCUACUGCGCCUGGCGGAUCUGCUGCUGAACGAAUCCACGCCUUGAGAAGCUGACAAGACUGAGUCGCCUCUUCGCCUGCAUUGGUGAGAUACGAUCUCUUUUACAGCUAAAUAUACUGGACUGUGCUCUGCUUUAGGCUCAUUUAACCAUGAAUACUUGUAGUAAGUCAAGCCUUUCUGUCAUUCAUUGAAUGAGUUGUUGUGUCAGUCCUUUAUACGCUAGUCCUGAAUCCCAUUUCAUGACUUAAAAGGAGGUACAAUGGCAGGGAAGUGUGGUGUGGCCCGUCAGUCGGGCUGGGUGGACAGGGGCUGGCAUUGGCAGGCUCCCUGGGCAAGGCAGGAGGCAGCACGCACUUGGCUCUGGGAGCCAGCAAGGAACGGGGUGGCAAGCCCUCGUGCCCCUGGCCGCUGGGGGGCACGGCAAUGGCGGUGGGAGUGUGGCGGCAGUAAGCGAUGAGCUCCCGCAGACACCGCCAGCAGCAUUGGCAGCGGGAGUGGCGAGCACCUUUUUGUAGAGGGUGCACUGCCACGCUCAGAGGGUGCACGUGCACCCGCAUGCACCCCCUACAUGUCGCCAGUGCCCUUGUGGCAGCCAGCACCACAUGGCACACAGUGUCCCAGCCCAGUGGGGCAGCCUCCCUGGCCCCAGCAUAAGCCAAGGGUUGGGGGUGGGCACAGGCCAGAGCUAAGUGCCCUGUGCUCUCUCUGUGCCCCCCAAAAGCCAGAGAGAUGCAAGGGGCCAAGAGGCGCCAUGCACUGCCUGCCAUCUUCCUGCUGCUCACUUCAACCCUGCCGGCUCUGGGGGCAGCGGCAGCAGCUGGGAGCUGCAGGCAUCGGGCACAGAGCGCUCUUUUUGCAGGGGAUUGGGUGGAGCAGCAAACUGGCACCUGCCAUGGUUCCCAUUACGGGACAGGGUGUUCGCCCAGCGCUAGAGCAGCAGUGCCCUGCACACCGCAGCAUCCCUAGAGCUGCAGUGCUGCGCUGCAGCUGGGAGUGGGCAGCAAGGUAAGUGCCCCAGCUCUUCAACACUGCCAGGCACGCAAGGUAAAAGACCCGGCCUACCUGCAGGGCUGGGGGAGAGGGGCAUAUAGCCCCCUGCAAGCUUUACUUACCCCAAAGGCUUCAGGAGGGCAAGUAAGCCUGAGCCAAGCCCUGGUUGACCCAGAUUUGCAGGUCCCAGGCCCCCUCCCUCACCUCUUCCUCCAUCUCCAGACAGGGCUUAGGGUGUCCUGCUCUUUUUUGCAAGCUUGCAGCCUGCAGAGAGCUCUUUGCAAAAGGAGAAACCCAUGGCUUCUUGCUUCAAGUGGGGAAAAAUCUGUGUUUUUCUCUGCUAAAGGGGAAAAUCUGCAUCUUUCUCCUUCGAGUGGGAAAAUCCACAUUUUUCUGCAGGAAAUGGAAAACCCGCAUUCCCUGCUUAUAAGAGAAUGCCUGAGCAACAUAGUAAUGUCAACCAACAGUCUUCUAAAUAAUAAAAAGCUUGCUGCAAAUGCACUUUGGGACGCGUGGAAGGAAGCUGCACGUAUAGAUGCUGAAGUAGGAUUAGGUGUCACAUACAGAAAACCAGGUAGCAAAUCUCAUGGAGGACUAUAUAGGUUUCCUGAGGUACUGAAGGAAAGAGAAGGCUUCAAGAAGUGGCAAAGCUGGAUUUGGACCAAGUUGUACGAAUCAUAUUGAAUGUAAUAGUUUGAAUGCCCAUUAGCCAGUUUAAACAAACGGCAAGGUUCAUCUUCUUAUCUAGGUUCGUUGCUUGUUUUACCUGGCCUUACAACGAACGGACUUAAAGUCUUGGCUCCUCCAUCUUAUCUCUAGAGACCUUUAACAAGUUAUCGUAAGGACCGGAAAAAAGACCCUUAAGCAAACAUUGCGAGAGAUCAAAACCCUAGGAGCCUUUUGAAAAGGGGUUGUAAAAGAAAGGUCACCGCAGCGGUAUGGAAAAUCUUCCAAAGCAAAAUUUAAGAUAAACUGAAUAGUCAGUGGACAAAUUCCGUUGCGGAAGACAAACUGACCACCUAGCAAAAAACCUGUUGAGUAAGAUCCGAGCCCAAAUUUGGGAGUAGUGACAGGUUUGGGUAGGACGGGCCCAAGAUGGCAACUCACCCAAUAAAACCUGUAACCUACAGUCCCAAUUUGGAGGUAACCUCUUCACCUGCAGAACAACGAAGGAAGAAUCGCAAGUGUAGGCCGGAUCAGACUGAUCACCCGAACCACCCUCUCCGUGAACACGAAUCUGUUAGUUCACACUGAAGCUGUGGAGCGCCCAAGUGGGACAUGUUCCUAUCACUGCUGAGGCCAACCCAUUGAAUCGUACUACUGAGGCCAGCCCAUUAAAUUGUACUACUGAGGAAUGAAACCAUAUUUAGGUGUUUGGCUUCUUAGAAUUCUAGGAUUGUAACUAUAAUAUAGUAAUAACUUUUCUGCUUCAAAUUAUAGAGUUAGUUGUAAUUGUAAUUGUUUUAAAGAAGUGCAUUUAGAGUAUUGUUCCUUAUAUAUAUAGUUAUCGUGUUUUUGAUGUUUAUGGUAUUUCUUAAAAUAAAAUUGUGUUGUAUAAA